GGAUGCGAUCAUACCAGCACUAAAGCACCGGAUUCCAUCAGAACUCCGAAGUUAAGCGUGCUUGGGCGAGAGUAGUACUAGGAUUGGUGACCUCCUGGGAAGUCCUCGUGUUCAUUCC
rnacentral:rRNA from 2 species